rnacentral:rRNA from 1 species
AUUGAACGCUGGCGGCAGGCCUAACACAUGCAAGUCGAGCGGAUGAAGGGAGCUUGCUCCUGGAUUCAGCGGCGGACGGGUGAGUAAUGCCUAGGAAUCUGCCUGGUAGUGGGGGGUAACGUCCGGAAACGGGCGCUAAUACCGCAUACGUCCUGAGGGAGAAAGUGGGGGAUCUUCGGACCUCACGCUAUCAGAUGAGCCUAGGUCGGAUUAGCUAGUUGGUGGGGUAAAGGCCUACCAAGGCGACGAUCCGUAACUGGUCUGAGAGGAUGAUCAGUCACACUGGAACUGAGACACGGUCCAGACUCCUACGGGAGGCAGCAGUGGGGAAUAUUGGACAAUGGGCGAAAGCCUGAUCCAGCCAUGCCGCGUGUGUGAAGAAGGUCUUCGGAUUGUCAAGCACUUUAAGUUGGGAGGAAGGGCAGUAAGUUAAUACCUUGCUGUUUUGACGUUACCAACAGAAUAAGCACCGGCUAACUUCGUG